rnacentral:rRNA from 1 species
UACAGAGGUCUCAAGCGUUGUUCGGAUUCAUUGGGCGUAAAGGGUGCGUAGGAGGGCAGGUAAGUCAGUGGUGAAAUCUCCGAGCUUAACUUGGAAACUGCCGUUGAUACUAUCUGCCUUGAAUAUUGUGGAGGUGAGCGGAAUAUGUCAUGUAGCGGUGAAAUGCUUAGAUAUGACAUAGAACACCAAUUGCGAAGGCAGCUCGCUACACAUAUAUUGACUCUGAGGCACGAAAGCGUGGGGAUCAAACAGG